CCUGUUGGCUCAGAGGGUAAAGCGCCUUCCUACAAUGUAGGAGACCCAGGUUGAAUCCCUGGGGCAGGA
rnacentral:tRNA from 1 species